GCGGAAGCCGGCUGCGAGGCUGCGGCGCCGAGCGCGGGCCAUGGCGUGGAUGCUGGACUGCCUGUUCGCGUCGGCCUUCGAGCCCCGCCCCCGGCGCGUCAUGUGAGCAUUUCUAAGGCAGGUGUUAACAUCGCCAAUCUACAGAUGAGAAAACUGAGGUUCAGAGAGAUGAAGUAACCUUCCCAAGAUCACACAGCAAAACCGCAUCUUUGGAGCCACAACCCCGGAGCUUUUGGCUUCUUCGAAGUUGAAGUUUGCCCAUUUCACAGCACCAGCUUAAGGAGAGCUCCCAGAACUGGAGCUGGUGAGGUGCUUAUGAGCCUAGAGUAAUUAAAGAUUUUGAGGUGUCAACAAAGCAGGUAAUUAGGUGGAGAAGAUAUCAACUGUCUGAGAGACAAAGAAAGUAAUUACGCUGAGCACUCUUGGUGCUGUCAGUAAACCCAAAAGAAAGAUUCGUUGGGAAAUGAUACUGUUUGAUAGAGAACUGUAAUGCCUAGCAGAAACGAAGGACUCUUGGUGAGGCCACCUGGUACAGAAGAAAAGAUUCAGGGAGCUUGGCAAACCUGGGUUUCAGAUACCAGUUCUGCCUGCUACUGGCUGUGUGACCUUGGAAAAGUUACUUAACUACUCUGAGUCUGAUGUGUGAUGUGCAAAAUGGUGAUAGUCAUAGCUCCAUCUUCAUCAUAGAGCCAUGGGGAACUUCAGGAACUCAUGCAUGUAAGAGCACUGGCAUGAUGCCUGGUAUACAAUAAGUGCUUAAUAAAUGGUAACACUA
rnacentral:lncRNA from 1 species